rnacentral:lncRNA from 1 species
AUGGACUUCUCCAGGUGUUGUUUUUCUUGCACAGCUUUAUGCCUUUGUUUUCUUUGCAUUCUCAGGCUGUGUUUACGUGGUCUUUGUUGUGUACCUGCUCAAGUUAACAAAUACCUGGCAGCUGCACAGGAGGAGCUGCAGCCCUCUGCAGUGCCCAGAACAGAUCUCGUGGUGCACAUCCAUCAAACUGGCACCUGGAGAACCCUGGAAAGGAUCCUGUGUCUUAAUGAAACUUCUGACAGCUCUGCAAGUGCCUUCAGAGACUCGUCCCUGAGUGGGACAUGGGAGAAGUUAACAGAUUGGUUCCCUCCUCAAUUUAUCAUUUGUCAGGCCUUCAGGAAAGUUCUUGGAUGACAGCACUUCUGUGCUUACUGGUGAAAUCUUUUCUAAAGCCUGUCUACCUCGUAAUGCAAAACCUCCCCUUGGAAAGGUGAAUGUGAUGUUACCAGAGAAUCAUCAGGUUUGGAAAAGACCUCCAAAAUCAUGGAACCAACCAUCACCCUGCUCACAAGUAAUGCCAGAAGGAAAAUCAGUCUGUGUUCCAGACUGUAAGACAGAUUUUAAAACCUGCAACCUGUUCCUGGCACAGAUAGGAUGAUUCUCAUAAUUCUGCCUGGAAAAUGAUUGAGUGUGCACCUCAUAGCUCUGUGCUCUCUUUCACUGCAGUCAAUAAUGUUUUUUGCUUGCUAGGGCUGUUUGACACCUGAUUCUGGGACUCUUAGACUGGACAGCUCAUGAAUAAAGAUUAAAAUCACAAAAAAUGAAAUAAAAAA